rnacentral:tRNA from 2 species
GGCCGCGUGGUGAAAUCGGUAGACACAGCAGACUUAAAAUCUGCUUCGCGGUAGCGCGAGUGCCGGUUCGAGUCCGGCCGCGGCCA